UCCAGGCUACUAGGACGCAGCGAUUGGCGGAGGCACCCAGUUGGGGUGCCAGGUGGUCCAUCACAGUUAAUAUAAUAGCUUUUUAAUCAUGGAGCUUAAGUAGAACUAGCUAUACUGUGCCUUUGUGGGCACCUAAUCUUUGAGGUAAACUAACUGACUCAAUCUUAUUCUGCUCCAUGAAAACGGGUCGGUUCUCCCAUUCAAUAAACGGUCAGUCUAAGUAUCUGUUAGGUAUUGGAUUGAAUAUAGGUAUUACUUAGCUAUCGCUUCCAGAGGUAUAACCUGGGCGGCAGCAACGACCACAGUACACAUCAGCUCCAAUACAUAUAGUAAAAAACGAAGAAAG